GCUCUCGCGGCCCAGUUGGUUAGUGCGUCGUACUUAUAAGCAGUGCAGGAGUAUAUGCGAAGGUCGAGAGUUCGAUCCCUUCCGGAGCA
rnacentral:tRNA from 1 species